GCCUCCGUAGCUCAGUGGUAGAGCGUUUGCAUGGUAAGCAAAAGGUCGCGUGUUCAAUUCACGCUGGAGGCU
rnacentral:tRNA from 2 species